AUAACAGGUCUCGACAUCCUCUGACAAUCCUAGAGAUAGGACGGGGCUUCGGGGCCCCCCGACAGGUGGUGCAUGGUUGUCGUCAGCUCGUGUCGUGAGAUGUUGGGUUAAGUCCCGCAACGAGCGCAACCCUUGAUCUUAGUUGCCAGCAUUCAGUUGGGCACUCUAAGGUGACUGCCGGUGACAAACCGGAGGAAGGUGGGGAUGACGUCAAAUCAUCAUGCCCCUUAUGACCUGGGCUACACACGUGCUACAAUGGACAGAACAAAGGGCAGCGAAACCGCGAGGUUAAGCCAAUCCCACAAAUCUGUUCUCAGUUCGGAUCGCAGUCUGCAACUCGACUGCGAGAAGCUGGAAUCGCUAGUAAUCGCGGAUCAGCAUGCCGCGCUGAGUACGUUUUCCGGGCCUUGUGCACACCGCGCGUCUCACCUCGUGAAGUUUGUAACACACCGAGAGAUGCGCAGUAGGUACCAUUUUAGGAGCCAGCCGUCCGAAGGUGGACAGAGUUGGCC
rnacentral:rRNA from 1 species